UACAGAGGUCUCAAGCGUUGUUCGGAUUUAUUGGGCGUAAAGGGCGCGUAGGCGGCGGGGUAAGUCGGGUGUGAAAUCCCGGGGCUUAACCUCGGAAUUGCAUUCAAUACUGCUUCGCUCGAGUACUGGAGAGGAGGCUGGAAUUUACGGUGUAGCAGUGAAAUGCGUAGAUAUCGUAAGGAAGGCCGGUGGCGAAAGCGAGCCUCUGGACAGUUACUGACGCUGAUGCACGAAGGCCAGGGGAGCAAACGGG
rnacentral:rRNA from 1 species